rnacentral:rRNA from 1 species
UACGUAGGGUGCAAGCGUUGUCCGGAAUUAUUGGGCGUAAAGAGCUCGUAGGCGGUUUGUCGCGUCUGCUGUGAAAACUCGGGGCUUAACCCCGGGCCUGCAGUGGGUACGGGCAGACUAGAGUGCGGUAGGGGAGACUGGAAUUCCUGGUGUAGCGGUGAAAUGCGCAGGUAUCAGGAGGAACACCGGUGGCGAAGGCGGGUCUCUGGGCCGUAACUGACGCUGAGGAGCGAAAGCGUGGGGAGCGAACAGG